rnacentral:rRNA from 1 species
UGCUUGACCGUAAAAUAUUAACUCACACCCUCACACGCCAGGGCACUACAAGCCAAGCUUAAAACCCAAAGGACUUGACGGUGUCCCACCCUACUAGAGGAGCCUGUUCUGUAAUCGACACCCCCCGCUAUACCCUACCAUUUCUCGUCUACCAGCCUGUAUACUUCCGUCGCAAGUUUACCCUGUGAAUGCCCCGUAAACCAAAUGACCCCCGUCAACACGUCAGGUCAAGGUGCAGCUCAUGAAAUGGAGAGCAAUGGGCUACAAUUUCUAACCUAGAAUAUACGAAACACUGCAUGAAACACAGCUAUGAAGGUGGAUUUAGUAGUAAAAAGAAACUAGCAAGUUCUUUUUAACCGGGCACUGGGACGUGU